UGGGGAAUAUUGCACAAUGGAGGGAACUCUGAUGCAGCGACGCCGCGUGAGUGAUGAAGGACUUCGUUUCGUAAAACUCUGUUCUAUGGGAAGAAAAGGACUGUACCAUAGGAGAAAGCUCCGGCUAAAUACGUGCCAGCAGCCGCGGUAAUACGUAUGGAGCGAGCGUUGUCCGGAAUUAUUGGGCGUAAAGGGUGCGCAGGCGGCUUUACAAGUUGGAUGUGAAAUAUUGUGGCUCAACCACAAACGUGCAUCCAAAACUGCAAAGCUUGAGUUAAGAAGAGGUAAGUGGAAUUCCUGGUGUAGCGGUGGAAUGCGUAGAUAUCAGGAGGAAUACCGGUGGCGAAGGCGACUUACUGGACUUAAACUGACGCUCAGGCACGAAAGCGUGGGGAGCAAACAGG
rnacentral:rRNA from 1 species